GGCACUGCAGCUCCAGCACAGACCUCAGCUGCAGUUACGCCCAAGGCCUGCAGGGGGCGCUGUUUCGCAUAAAACGUGCAAACUCCUUAAUGCACCUUUAAUGUAAACCUCCUGAAAUCCGCUGGAAGGAUCUGUCAAUCAUUACAGGGCAGACCUGUCAAUCACGUAGCCCCGCCCCCUCAUUAUGAAAACUUGAACACUCUAUAUUGAUAUGUUUUCAGAUCCCUGUUCAGGACGAUGAAAUGCAAUGAAAAGAACAACUCUGAGCUGUAGAAACUCCGCCGAUCAGUUUUUUUGAUCUUUCAUUUUGACCUGGAGUUCAUGGAAUCACGGCCUUUCUGGAGCCCCCCCUGGUGGACACUGUGAGAUUGACAGUUUUUGACACUUCCGGGUUGGCUUGAUGUUUUGUAGUCACAUGUUGGAUCCAUUAUUUACACGACCAAUGGUCCAGACCGGGUCUCCACAUGUGUUCCUCACGUGGUUCCUGCUCGCUGGACUGUGACUCCAGCUGUUCUCCAGCUGUUCCUGGGUUCUCCUGCUCUCGGGUUCUUGUACGGCUCCUCAGGCUCUCUGAGUCACUGUGGUUCACCUUCGGUCCUGGAACCAGGCUGGACGUUGGAGGUUCUGCUCCCCCAUCCCUGACCGUGUUGCCCCCUGAUGGUUCGGCCCUGGAGCAGCAGGACCAGGUCUUCGUGCUGUGCCUGGCCCAGCGGGGCUUCCCCUCAGACUGGACCCUGCACUGGGAGGUGGACGGGUUCCAGGUGAGCGGCGGCAGCGGCGGCCUGGAGGAGGUCUCUGGACCCGGGACCCUGAUGGGGGACGGCCUCUACACCUGGACCAGCACCCUGAAGAUCCCAGCAGUCCACUGGAGGAAGACGGUCUCUGUGACCUGCCAGGCCAGCCAGGGCUCCCAGACCCCCGUCAGACAGACCCUGAGGAGGGAGCAGUGCCAGCAGCCCUGAUCCGGCAGGACCCGGCCCAGCAGGACCUGAUUCUUUA